GGCCUAUCAGCUAGUUGGUGAGGAAACGGCUCACCAACGCUAUGACGGAUAGCUGGUCUGAGAGGACGACCAGCCACACUGGACCAGAGUAACGGGCCAGACGCCUACGGGUGGCAGCAGUCGAGAAUUUUUCUCAAUGGGCGAACCCCUGAAGGACCCAGGCCGCGUGAGGAUGAAGGUUUUCGGAUUGUAAACUCCUGUCAUUUGGGAACAAACCUAAUUAUUUAACUGAUGGAGGACUGAUAGUACCAGAAGAGGAAGAGACGGCUAACUCUGUGCCAGCAGCCGCGGUAAUACAGAGGUCUCAACCGUUGUUCGGAUUCAUUGGGCGUAAAGGGUGCGUAGGCGGUCGCGCAAGUCGGAUGUGAAAUCUCAGGGCUCAACCCUGAAACUGCAUUCGAUACUGCGUGGCUAGAGUGCUGGAGAGGAGACUGGAAUUUACGGUGUAGCAGUGAAAUGCGUAGAUAUCGUAAGGAAGACCAGUGGCGAAGGCGAGUCUCUGGACAGCAACUGACGCUGAGGCACGAAGGCCAG
rnacentral:rRNA from 1 species